UAAUAAAAAGAUAGAAAAAGUGGACGCUGAAAGAAUGCAGCAACCCACCAGCUCAAUUGCUCCAUGGCACCAACUCUGCUAUUACCCACUUCCAAUCCCUAAACUUCAAAACCCUAGUCUCCACUGUCACAAUCACCAUUUCCCCAAAAUUUGCUCUUACCACCAACCAAUCUAUCAUCAAAACGAACCCAUCAUCAAACCCAACUCAAAUCACAGCCCAUUAAACAAAACCCCCACAGAUUUAUACUCUCUUUACUCAAGUUGUAGCAAAGAUCAAGAAACCAAGAACCCAAACAACCGCACUUCAUACCCUCAUCAAAAUCAAAUCUUUUUAGAACAGGCUUGCAAUUCAGAUCAAGAUAAGAAAACCCAACUCAAACUAGCCCAAAAGGUGGUGGAUAAGGAUUGUUUGGAUUUGGAGAGUAGAGUAACUGUGAGAAAUAUGUGGUGGGAUAAUAUUAUAGCUGCUAUAGGGCAAAGAUUUAACUUGGAGGGGAUUAAGUGUUCAGUUGGGGUGUUUGUUAAGGAUAGGCAUUUGCUAGUGCCUCAUGUUGCUGUGCCUGAUAUAAGGUCCAUUGAUUGGGGGGAAUUGAAAAGGAGAGGCUUUGAAGGGGUUGUUUUUGAUAAGGAUAAUACUUUGACAGUUCCUUAUUCUUUGUCAUUGUGGGGACCUAUUCGUUCGUCUGUCGAAGAUUGUAAAUCUGUAUUUGGUAGUAAUAUCGCGGUUUUUAGUAAUUCUGCUGGACUUCAUCAGUAUGAUCCUGACGGUAGGAAAGCAAGAGCGGUGGAGUUUAAGAUUGGAAUCAAAGUUGUAAGGCAUAAGGUGAAGAAGCCAGCUGGAUCAGCUGAAGAGAUUGAGAAACAUUUUGGAUGUGAUUCUACAAGGCUGAUUAUGGUUGGUGAUCGAGCAUUCACAGAUGUUGUCUAUGGAAAUCGAAAUGGUUUUCUCACAAUUUUAACUAAUCCAUUAAGUCUUGCUGAGGAGCCUUUAAUUGUUAGGCAGAUGUUGAUUAAAAUUCUCAUGGAAAGCAAAAGAUGAAAUAAGGUUAUAUAAAUGGGAAAAUGUUUCUGCUCUCUAAAAAAUGUCAAUCUUAAAAGAUGUCCAGUUCUUGGUCCUGAAUCAUGAAACUUUUCGAUUAUAGUUUUGUGUGGGUUUGUACACCCCCGGCCUGUAGGCUACCUGCAGAUGAAUAACCGUGCAUGUGCUGCAUCAUGAAACAUGAAUUAUAGCAUGUCUAUUGUCUCAGCAGUAUUCGCAACUGGUGCGUCAGCAUCUGACAGAGGAGUGAUACUAGACCGCAGACUACAAGAUCAUGUCAUUACUCAUUACCAUCAUCAAGCAAUGAGCUUCCUGAGCUCAUACUAUUUGCUGCAUUGCACUAUAAUGCUGGAAUACAGUCUCCAUCUAUAUGUUGCCAACAUGUAAAAUUUUCUAUAUUGAAGCCAUUUAACCUGUUUUAAAUGCUGA